GAUGAACGCUGGCGGCGUGCCUAAUACAUGCAAGUCGAGCGAAGGGACGAGAUACUUGUUUCACUGAUGUUAGCGGCGGACGGGUGAGUAACACGUGGAUAACCUACCUAUAAGACGGGGAUAACUUCGGGAAACCGGAGCUAAUACCGGAUAAUAAUUUUAACCGCAUGGUUCAAAAGUGAAAGACGGUAUUGCUGUCACUAAUAGAUGGAUCCGCGCGGCUUUAGUUAGUUGUGAAGGUAACGGCUUACAAAGGCAACGAUGAAUAGCGGACCUGGGAGGGUGUUCGCCAACACUGGAACUAGACCCCGGCCCAGAUUCCUCGGGGAGCAACAAGAAGGAAUCUUCCGGAAAUGGGGGAAAGCCUAACGGACAAACGCCGCGUAGUGAAUGAAGUUCUUCGAAUCUAAAACCUUUGUUAUUAGGGAGAACCAUAGGUGUAAGUAAAAGUGCAUCACGUGACGGUACCUACUCAGAAAGCGACGGCUAACUACGUG
rnacentral:rRNA from 1 species